GCCACCCUAGCUCAGCUGGUAGAGCAAUGCUUUCGUAAAGCAUAGGUCGUCGGUUCGAAUCCGACGGGUGGCU
rnacentral:tRNA from 2 species